GAUGAAGAACGUAGCGAAAUGCGAUAAGUAGUGUGAAUUGCAGAAUUCAGUGAAUCAUCGAAUCUUUGAACGCACAUUGCGCCCCUUGGUAUUCCAUUGGGCAUGCCUGUUCGAGCGUCAUUUACAACCUCAAGCUCCGCUUGGUGUUGGGUGUCUGUCUGCGCUUCUUGCGAAGACUCGCCCUAAAUCUAUUGGCAGCGGCAUCGCCGGCUUCUCGCGCAGUACAAUGCGUUAUGGAAGGCUACCGGCGGGCUUGCGUCCAUCAAGUAACCCCCCAAGUUUGACCUCGAAUCAGGUAGGGAUACCCGCUGAACUUAAGCAUAUCAAUAAGCGGAGGA
rnacentral:misc_RNA from 1 species